CCUACGAGGGGCAGCAGUGAGGAAUAUUGGUCAAUGGGCGGGAGCCUGAACCAGCCAAGCCGCGUGAGGGAAGAAGGUACAGCGUAUCGUAAACCUCUUUUGUCAGGGCACAAAGGCGGGGACUAGUCCCCGGAUGAGGGUACCUGAAGAAAAAGCAUCGGCUAACUCCGUGCCAUCAGCCGCGGUAAUACGGAGGAUGCGAGCGUUAUCCGGAUUGAUAGGGUUAAAGGGGCGCGGAGGCGGCCUGUUAAGUCAGCGGUAAAAGCCCGGGGCUCAACCCCGGCGAGCCGUUGAAACUGGCGGGCUGGAGUUGGAGAGAAGUACGCGGAAUGCGCGGUGUAGCGGUGAAAUGCUUAGAUAUCGCGCAGAACCCCGAUUGCGAAGGCAGCGUACCGGCUCCACACUGACGCUGAGGCACGAAAGCGUGGGUAUCGAACAGGAUUAGAUACCCUAGUAGUC
rnacentral:rRNA from 1 species